CAGCCAAAUCAUGUUAAAACACCUGUUUCUGUACGAUCACUGAAGUUAAGCAAUGUUGAGCCUGGUCAGUACCUAGAUGGAUGACUGCUUGGGGGAUACCAGAUGCUGUAAG